AUUGAACGCUGGCGGCAUGCUUUACACAUGCAAGUCGGACGGCAGCACAGAGAAGCUUGCUUCUUGGGUGGCGAGUGGCGAACGGGUGAGUAACAUAUCGGAACGUACCGAGCAGUGGGGGAUAACUAAUCGAAAGAUUAGCUAAUACCGCAUAUCUUCUGAGGAAGAAAGCAGGGGACCAUUUGGCCUUGCGCUGUUUGAGCGGCCGAUAUCUGAUUAGCUAGUUGGUGGGGUAAAGGCCUACCAAGGCGACGAUCAGUAGCGGGUCUGAGAGGAUGAUCCGCCGCACUGGGACUGAGACACGGCCCAGACUCCUACGGGAGGCAGCAGUGGGGAAUUUUGGACAAUGGGCGCAAGCCUGAUCCAGCCAUGCCGCGUGUCUGAAGAAGGCCUUCGGGUUGUAAAGGACUUUUGUCAGGGAAGAAAAGGGCGGGGUUAAUACCCCUGUCUGAUGACGGUACCUGAAGAAUAAGCACCGGCUAACUACGUG
rnacentral:rRNA from 1 species